GAUGAAGAACGUAGCGAAAUGCGAUAAGUAAUGUGAAUUGCAGAAUUCAGUGAAUCAUCGAAUCUUUGAACGCACAUUGCGCCCGCCAGUAUUCUGGCGGGCAUGCCUGUUCGAGCGUCAUUUCAACCAUCAAGCCCCCGGCUUGUGUUGGGGACCUGCGGCUGCCGCAGGCCCUCAAAAGCAGUGGCGGGCUCGCUGUCACACCGAGCGUAGUAGCAUACAUCUCGCUCUGGGCGUGCUGCGGGUUCCGGCCGUUAAACCACCUUCAUAACCCAAGGUUGACCUCGGAUCAGGUAGGAAGACCCGCUGAACUUAAGCAUAUCAAUAAGCGGAGGA
rnacentral:misc_RNA from 1 species